AUUAAUAUUUUAGUGUAAUUAACUAUCUCCCCGAAUUUAUUAAGAUUUUAUUUAUAAUUAAAGUUUGUAGGGUUUAUAUUAAUUUUAAUUGUUUCAUAAAAAAUAUAAUAAAAUUAUAAUUAGAGAUGAAAAAUCUACAAUUAUUAAGAUAUCUGGAUUUAAGUUAAAUAUAUGUAGUAUAAUUUUUAAGACAUAUUUAAGGCUAUAAGGUCUUAAAUAGGAAAAACAUUUAAUAUUUUAUAUUACCCUAGAUUUAAUAAAUUUAUAGGGACUAACUUAUUUUUAGAAAAUAUGUUUAACUUUUAAAUAUUAUUUGUAUUAAAAAAUUUUAUAUUAUAGCUUAGUCAUAAAAAAAAUUAUAAAUUAUUAUUUGAUUCUGUUAUUAUUAGUAUAUUAUUAAUAAAUUUAUUAAAAGAACUCGGCAAAAAUAGUUAAUAUAACUACAUUCCGGACUGUUUACCAAAAACAUAGCUUGAAGAGGAUAAAUUUUAAGUGACCCCUGCCCAGUGAAAGCUUAAUUUUAACGGCCGCAGUACAUUGACUGUGCUAAGGUAGCAUAAUAAUUUGGCUUUUAAUUGAAGUCUAGAAUGAAUGGGGUUUACUAGGAAUACACUGUUUCUAAAAAAUUUUAUGUAAGUUGCUUAUUGAGUGAAAAUUCUCAAAUUAUUUAUAAGAAAGACGAGAAGACCCUUAGAAUUUUUCUGUUUUGAAUAAAUAUUAAUAUAUUCUUUAUAGUUUGGUUGGGGCAACCAUUAAACAAAAUAAUUUUAAUAUUAAAUUAUAUCUCACUUAUAUAUAUUUAUUAAAUUUGAAUAAAUUACCUAAGGGAUAACAGCAUAAUUAAUAAAAUAGAUUGUGACCUCGAUGUNGGACUAGUAUAAUUAAUGGUAAGCCACUAUUAAUAUUGUUCUGUUCGAACAAAUUAUUACCUACAUGAUCUGAG
rnacentral:rRNA from 1 species